rnacentral:lncRNA from 1 species
GCCUGGCUCAUGCCUAUCGAGCUGCCAUUGAUACUGCUAUCAACUUAGUGACAGACCCUGCGGCCACUCCAAGCCCUGUGACAGAUCCAACGGCCACUGUGACCCCUACGGUGGACUCGGCAGCCGCUCCAGAUCCGGUUCCUGCAGCCGCUCCAGAUCCGGUUCCUGCAGCCGCCCCAGCUCCAGCUCCUGCAGCCGCCCCAGCUCCAGCUCCUGCAGCCGCUCCAGUCCCAGCUCCUGCAGCCGCUCCAGUCCCAGCUCCUGCAGCCGCUCCAGUCCCAGCUCCUGCAGCCGCUCCAGUCCCAGCUCCUGCAGCCGCUCCAGUCCCAGCUCCUGCAGCCGCUCCAGCUCCAGCUCCUGCAGCCGCUCCAGCUCCAGCUUCUGCAGCCGCUCCAGUUCCAGUUCCUGCAGUCGCUCCAGUUUCAGCUCCGGCCGCUACUCCAGUCCCAGUUCCUGCAACUGCUCCAGUCCCAGCUCCUGAAGCUGCUCCAGCUCCAGCUCCUGCAGCCGCUCCAGCUCCAGCUCCUACUGCUGCUCCAGUCCCAGCUCCUGCAACUGCUCCAGCUCCAGCUCCAGCUCCUGCAGCCGCUCCAGCUCCAGCUCCUACUGCUGCUCCAGUCCCAGCUCCUGCAACUGCUGCAGCUCCAGCUCCAGCUCCUGUAGCCACUACAGCUCCGGUUCCUGCAACUGCUCCAGCUCCUGCAGCCGCUCCAGCUCCUGUGGCCGUGUCAGAGAAACGAGCAGUAGCAGUGCAAGCUGCCCCUGUAGAGAAGGUGAAAAUAUGGUAUAGAAAUUCAAGUCGUUUAGAACGCAGAGAGUCUUCUGCCAAUCCAGGUAAGGCUUCUGCCAAAACUAAGUAUAGAGAUGACGAAGAUGAUGACGACGCUGGGCCAUCAAGGAUUCAGGAGGAGGAAGAUGAGGAUGCCGAAAGAGCAACAGUAACUACCCGAAGCCUAAACGAGCGCGAGCUACGAGAUGUGCGAAAAGAUUUUGGUCGCUGUAUAGGUGAGCAGCUUGUCACCUGGCUGCUCCGGUGCUGGGACUCUGGAGCCAAUUGUGUGGAAUUAGACGGCAGGGAAGCCAGACGGUUGGGAUCCCUUGCUCGAGACGCCGGCAUUGACAAAGCAAUUGCAGAUGGAGCACGACCCACCAGCCUCUGGAGGCGUCUCCUCUCAGCUGUGAGGGAAAGGUAUCCCUUCAAGGAAGAUAUUUUAUGUCUACCAGGCAAGUGGACCACUAUGGAGAAGGGAAUCCAGUACCUGAGGGAAUUAGCCGUACGGGAAGUGAUUUAUGAGGAUCCAGACCAGACACAAACAUCCAAAGAUCCAGAUGAAGUCAAGUGUACACGACCCAUGUGGCGGAAGUUUGUACGGAGUGCACCAUCAUCAUAUGCCAGCUCAUUGGCAAUAAUGGCCUGGAAAGAGGAUGAGGAACCCACAGUGGAUGAAGCGGCUAAACAACUCCGGCAGUACGAAGAAAGUCUCUCCUCUUCCUUACAGGCCUGCGUCUCAGCUGUGGAGAAACUUUCUGAAAAGGUUCACCAACUUGAAGAGAAUCUAUUGUCCUCCCCACCUGAACCAACCAGUGCCCACCGACCAAAAGAGAACACCUGGGAGAAAACACUUUCUGAAAAGUUUCACCAACUUGAAGAGAGAUUAUUCUCCUCCGCACCUGUACAAAGCAGUGUCUCAGCUGUCAGGGGUAGGCGUUCACCCACACAAGGAAGACGAUAUGGUGGGUACUCACCCCGUGCCACCCUGUGGUUUUACUUACGAGACCAUGGAGAGGACAUGAGAAAAUGGGAUGGAAAAUCUACCGCGACCCUAGAGGCACGGGUACGUGAGUUGCAAAAGAAAACAAUCAGGAAAAAAGGAUUCUCCGAAAAGUUUGCUGCUCCAACUUCCAGCAGACAAUCCUUCAAACACAGAAACGAAGAAGAUUCUGACCAGGAUUAGGGGGGCCCUGCCUCCAGCCAGGGGGAGGAAAGGGACAAUCGAGUUUAUUGGACUGUGUGGAUUCGAUGGCCUGGCACAUCACGCGCACAGAAGUAUAAGGCUUUAGUAGACACCGGU